AGAGUUUGAUCCUGGCUCAGAAUCAACGCUGGCGGCGUGCCUAACACAUGCAAGUCGAACGAGAAAGCGGGGGCAACUCCGCAAGUAAAGUGGCGACCGGGUGAGUAACACGUGACCAAUCUGCCCUCGAGUGGGGGAUAACUCCGGGAAACCGGAGCUAAUACCGCAUAACAUCUUCGGUACGUAGGUACUGAUGAUCAAAGGAGUAAUUCGCUUGAGGAGGGGGUCGCGGCUGAUUAGCUAGUUGGUGAGGUAACGGCCCACCAAGGCAAAGAUCGGUAGCCGGCCUGAGAGGGCGCACGGCCACACUGGAACUGAAACACGGUCCAGACUCCUACGGGAGGCAGCAGUGGGGAAUUUUGCGCAAUGGGGGAAACCCUGACGCAGCAACGCCGCGUGGAGGAUGAAGUCCCUUGGGACGUAAACUCCUUUCGACCGGGAAGAUAAUGACGGUACCGGAAGAAGAAGCACCGGCUAACUCUGUGCCAGCAGCCGCGGUAAUACAGAGGGUGCGAGCGUUGUUCGGAAUUAUUGGGCGUAAAGGGCGCGUAGGCGGUGCGGUAAGUCACCUGUGAAAUCUCCU
rnacentral:rRNA from 1 species